GGAAGGGAAUGGAGGGGGGAGGGGUAUUCAUCUGGUUGCAAUCUUCAACCUCACCGCUAGAUGCCACUAAAUCCUUCACACUGGCCAACUGUCGGUUACUAGGGCGCCUUAAGAUGGUGUAUUUAAAUUGAUGAUGGCCUGCUCACUUUUCUUCUCACAGUUUAGUUAAUCAAGCUCACCUGAUUAUUAUCCGACCAUUUUGCUUCUGGACAACUUUAUAGAGGAAACAAUCGUGUUUUUGUCGCGCUCAUCACUGCUGCUACCUGUAUUCAUACACUCCUCUCGACGGCCGUUAGCUAGUUUCACUAACUGGCCUCAAACUGCGCAGUUUCAACCGGAAGUGGAGUUUACCUGUCCUGUCUUGCCGCUAGCAGCUUGUGACCACACCGACUCAUCACCAUCAGCCAGAUACAUCUCAGAUGACCAUAGCUUCACUUCACACAGAGCGCUGUUGAGAGUUGCUGGGGCAUUGCCGAAAUCUAUUCCCCUCCUGCUAAGGCUGCUGUUUAGAGGCUCUCAUUAAUAAGAGAGGACUGUAAGGAAACCAGCAUGACGAGGAGGACCGUCUCCCUCCCCCCACAUCCCACCGCAGCACCCGCCGCCCAAUCUGAGAUGCUGUAAGUAGUGACACCCAACUCUGGUCCCACCCAGUUACUGUCUCUUUGUUGAAGGUUGGCACAGUGCUGAGAUGAGGGAGUGAGACGACCUCUGACCUUUCGUUACAAUGUGCUCACAUGCACCAUGUCUGCCAGUGUCUCAGGAGACAACAGGCUGAAUAUCACAUUCCUCAUUGGCCUUCUUCACCAUACUGAACCAAUCCUCCAGAUUCUCAAAGCUCUGGUAGUUGGUGAUGUCGUACACCAGGAGAACGCCCUGCGUUGGAGAAAGACAGAGGAACAAUGUUGACUCUGACGCUCGCUGAACCACCUUUCAUUUACUCAGUGGGAGAGACUGGUUCCCCUUUUUCUCACAAAGGAAAAGAUCAGAACCGGAAACCCCGCCGCCUGCGGUAUGGUUCCGUCCCGUGUGUGACGCGCUGCUGUUGCCAUGGUAACACGGGUCAAAGUGGGAAGGAUGCCGCUCUUCAUGGGGGAUGAGGAGGAAUUUGCACCUGGAGCACUUUGAAGCAGGUGGCAGUCAGUGUCAGGACGCUUAAGAGCAAAGACGAAGACGGCGAUUCUUAUUCGCAGCAGCAGUUUAAAAACGUCUAUUAAUUAUAUAUUUUUGUUAGUUUCACUGAUUUAUUUUGCUGCUGUGAUCAGUUAAGUUUGUGCCAGUUUAUCCUUCAUGUAGGGUGGAGUUUAGACUAUUUAAUCCAUUUAGCAACAAGGAAUUUGGAAGCUGUGGCACCAAAGUAAUGAAUUCACGAUUACUGGAACAUUUCUCCUCUCAUGAUUAAGUAAAUCUAAGAAAACUCGACAUAAAAUGAAUUUGGGUUUUAUUACAGACGUCCAUUUAAAAAAAAAAAAAAAAGUACAGUCCACAGUUAAAAGUGUUUGGUAAAAAGAUCAUUCUUUGAGAGAGAUGCAGUUGAUCUGUUUUACAGUGUUCAUAACGUUACUCCUUGAAGCCCAACAUAACGAUACUUGAGUAAAACAUAUAUCCUAAUAAAUACAUAAAUAUCUGAUCAUACACAAAUAAAUCUUGGCGAGUUGUGGUGCAAAGUAAAUUAAUAGAGAUAAAAAUGUUAAAAUGAUUAAAUACAUGAAAACCGACCCGUGUUCAUGGAUUUAGUCUCGUUUUACAUAUUAGAAAACACGCUGUUUAUAAUCCUAAAAUCUCGUAGGCCUAUAAUAUGUUAUAUUUGUUAUACACACAUUAAAACACCUGUGUGUGAUGUGAAAUUUCAGGGAGAUCUAACAUGGAUUAUUCUCGAUUAAAGCUGCUGAAAAUAAAUUAAAUUCACCUGUCAUCAAUUCUUAAAAUAUUGAAUUUCUCAGAUCAAGUGAAAGUCGUGCUGGCAUUGACGAGAUCGUGUCGCCUGUUUUAUUCUUUUAAAUGUGAAUCUUGUAAUUGGGAAAAUUAUCUCAUUUUUUUUUAAAGACUUUUUAUUUUGUUUGUUUUUUAAAGUAAAUUAAGAGAUUGUCAGGCGAGUUAAAACCAACCUGCCAACCAAAUCUUACACGUAAGGAAAUUAUGACUCAAUAACACUGAUUGUCAUGUGAACAUUUUUUUGCAGUUUAAUUUGGAGAGAAACACAUUUUAUAAUUUGGGGAUAAACUGUCACUUGUUCUGCCACAAAAUGACCCGACAGUACUCGCUUCAUAACCACAUGAUUAUAAAUUACCUUCAUUUCAGUCAAAUCGAGCCUAACAUCGCCUGCAGUUUACUUCCAGCUCUGUAUAACGUGUCAAAUAAUGUCUAUUAAAUGCCAAUUUUCCAUGAUAGUUCUGUCACUUGAUACAGAUCAACACCUGGAGAGUCUCUCUGUAAAUGAAUAUAAUUACUGCUCUGAAUAAAAGUCAAGAGCAAACGGCUGAAUUGUCCUUGACCCACAACACCAUGAAGAUCAAUUUAGGCCAGAGCUCGUUUAAGAAAGAAAAUGUACAUGUGUUAUAAUUUACACGGGAAUAAGAGGAAGAGGAGAAAUCAAAUAAUAAAUAAAUCACAUGGAUUAAAAUGGAGUGUGGCAACGAGGAUGAGUCAGAUUUCUGGUUGAUUAAAAUCAGAUUUCUUUUUUUUUUAUCUCCAAACAGCUUUCAAAAUUCCCAAGGUGUACGUUUUCCUCCUGAGACAGAAAGUAGUUUUAAAGAUUAAAAAUAAGGGUGAGCGCCUUGAUUCUUUGAGAAAUAACAUGGAAAAAAAAUAGGUUACUUGUGCGUAAUUAUCCAUAAAUGCUUGCGUAAAGGAGCUCCCGUGAUUCAUAAAAUCCAAAUGAAUUUCUGUCUCAUUUAGUUUCACAGCAUAAACAGUCACAGCAUAUUAAGCUAUACAAUAAAUAUAUUUCCCACGCAUUAAAGUAAACUAUAUAAAAUAAUAAUAAUAACGGGGAGACGCUGGAAUGGGGCUAAUGUUCACUGAUGGGGGUGUUUGCAUUUCAAUGAUCGCAGGCUGAAAGGAAAAAAAAAAUCCGCGACAUGUCCCUCUAUAUCAGAUAUCUCCACAUGCAGGUAUGAAAGGAAGUUAUGUGGGACGGUCCACUCCUCAGUAUCCCUCUCAGUCCUUCAAGUUCCAGCGCAGCCAAUGAGGAGCAUCACUGCCUGCUGGAGAGGGCCUCGGGUGGCACAUACCUGCAUCAAGGAGAUCAGAUUUUAGGACAAAUAGGCGCCGUUCGUGGGUAGGGGGAUUGUUUUUUACCAUAUAGGGUUAAAAAAAAAAAAAAGAUGGGGCGCUGAUCAACCAAAAGCGUAUUCACCUGGCUGUUUGGGCGUGUACGUGCGUAAAAGCGCAGUGGCAUUGCGCAGUGCUAAAACGGAGACCUUUCCUGUUGUGCCACCAUGAAUGUUUAUCUUUGGUGCUCUCAUUGUUAAUGUGUCCAAUUAUUUAUAUUAUGUUCUGUUGCUAUUAUUUUCCUCUCAUCUCCAUCAGUCUUAUAACUAAAGUAAACAGCACAGAAUACAUUUUUAUUCCUGAUUUACAGCAUCCCACAGGCUGUGUGGGCGUCUGUGAGGGAUGUAGGUGUUUUAUAAGGCCAAAGAAGGAUGGCUGAUGCACUGCAGCUCCCUGCUGACCCCAACUUAACACUUUUACUGGGUGCAGAAUAAUAGCUAAUACAACUCCAGUAAUAGUUCAGUUCCAGUGAUAAUAAGAUACCAAAGACAACCUUAAAGAAUGUUCCUGAAGGAAAACAUUUACAAUGUUUUGUAUCCACCAACAACCCAGAGUGAGGAUCUUUUUUUUUUUUUUUUUCACCCCUCCUUGACUUGAAUUUAGGCGCAGUGACAUGGGCCUCCUUAACCCUGAAAUACUCCUCUCGUUGUGUUGACAUGCAGCCCUAAAGGUAGCUGUCAGUUUGCCCUGUCCUGGAAUCACAGAGCUAUUCAUC